CCCUUGUACACACCGCCCGUCACACCAUGGGAGUCAGUUGCUCCAGAAGUGGCUUGCCUAACCGUAAGGAGGGCGGUCCCUAAGGAGUGGCUGGUAACUGGGGUGAAGUCGUAACAAGGUACCC
rnacentral:rRNA from 1 species